UACGUAGGGGGCUAGCGUUGUCCGGAAUCAUUGGGCGUAAAGAGCGUGUAGGCGGUCCGGUAAGUCCGCUGUGAAAGUCGGGGGCUCAACCCUCGAAUGCCGGUGGAUACUGUCGGGCUAGAGUGCGGAAGAGGCGAGUGGAAUUCCCGGUGUAGCGGUGAAAUGCGCAGAUAUCGGGAAGAACACCCGUGGCGAAGGCGGUUCUCUGGGACGGUACUGACGCUGAGACGCGAAAGCGUGGGGAGCGAACAGG
rnacentral:rRNA from 1 species